CCUACGGGUGGCAGCAGUGAGGAAUAUUGGUCAAUGGACGAGAGUCUGAACCAGCCAAGUAGCGUGAAGGAUGACUGCCCUAUGGGUUGUAAACUUCUUUUAUAAAGGAAUAAAACGAGGCACGUGUGCCUUUUUGCAUGUACUUUAUGAAUAAGGAUCGGCUAACUCCGUGCCAGCAGACGCGGUAAUAAGGAGGAUCCGCGCGUUAUCCGGUUUGAUUGGGUUUAAAGGGAGCGUAGAUGGGUUGUUAAGUUAGUUGUGAAAGUUUGCGGCUCAACCGUAAAAUUGCAAUGGAUACUGGCAGUCUUGAGUACAGUUGAGGUAGGCGGAAUUCGUGGUGUAGCGGUGAAAUGCUUAGAUAUCACGAAGAACCCCGAUUGCGAAGGCAGCUUACUAAACUGUGACUGACAUUGAUGCUCGAAAGUGUGGGUAUCAAACAGGAUUAGAUACCCCUGUAGUC
rnacentral:rRNA from 1 species